AUAGCUUGGUUUAUUUAUUCUAAAACAAGGGAUGAAUAAAGAUUGAUUUAUUUAUUCCAAAAAAAAAAAAUGUCUUCUUUCCAUCAUUAUCAAAACCCAGUAGGAUGAAUAGCAAAAAAGUGGGUUCUUUCAAUCUUAGAUUCUCUCAACAAAGCAUUCUAGGAAAAGAUAAACUUGAGCUAGCUUUGAUUUUCAUUGAAGAGAAUUUGCAAGUGAAAGAUUCAACUACAAAAUUCAUUUCUGAAAAUUUCCUUUCUUCUCCAUUUCAAACGUGUUAAAUCGAAAAUGGAGAGAUUGAGUGCAGGAACAUAGAUCGGAGAAGAAAGGGAUUGGAAAAUAUUUUGUUGUCGGAGGAUGAGUUUGAACAAGAUGAUGUUGGUAUAUAAAUGUCUUAUUGAAAUGUGAAUUGUGGUUUAUUUCAAAUGAAAUUUAUUGUGGAUUUUCAUUUCUUUA